CUACGAACAACAAGAUUUGAACUUGUACAGAGUAUAAUCCCUAAGAGCACCUGAAGCUCUCGCGUCUACCAGUUUCGCCAUGUUCGCA
rnacentral:tRNA from 1 species